CCUACGGGGGGCAGCAGUGGGGGAUAUUGCACAAUGGGGGGAACCCUGAUGCAGCCACGCCGCGUGGGUGAAGGAGUGCUUCGGCAUGUAAAGCCCUAUCGGCAGGGAAGAAGCAAGACGGUACCUGACUAAGAAGCCCCGGCUAACUACGUGCCAGCAGCCGCGGUAAUAAGUAGGGGGCGAGCGUUAUCCGGAUUCACUGGGUGUAAAGGGAGCGUAGACGGCCAUGCAAGCCAGGGGUGAAAACCCGGGGCCCAACCCCGGGUCGGCCCUUGGAACUGCAUGGCGGGAGUACGGGCGGGGUAGGCGGAAUUAGUGGAGUAGCGGGGAAAUGCGUAGAUAUAA
rnacentral:rRNA from 1 species